UACAGAGGGUGCAAGCGUUAAUCGGAAUUAUUGGGCGUAAAGCGCAUGUAGGUGGCCUUGUAAGUUUGAUGUGAAAGCCCUGGGCUUAACCUGGGAAUUGCGUUGAAGACUGCAAGGCUUGAGUCGGACAGAGGGCCGUGGAAUUUCCGGUGUAGCGGUGAAAUGCGUAGAGAUCGGAAAGAACACCAGUGGCGAAGGCGGCGGCCUGGGUCCAGACUGACACUGAGGUGCGAAAGCGUGGGGAGCAAACAGG
rnacentral:rRNA from 1 species